rnacentral:rRNA from 1 species
GACGAACGCUGGCGGCGUGCCUAAUACAUGCAAGUAGAACGCACAGUUUAUACCGUAGCUUGCUACACCAUAAACUGUGAGUUGCGAACGGGUGAGUAACGCGUAGGUAACCUGCCUGGUAGCGGGGGAUAACUAUUGGAAACGAUAGCUAAUACCGCAUAAUAUUGAUUAUUGCAUGAUAAUUGAUUGAAAGAUGCUAUUGCACCACUACCAGAUGGACCUGCGUUGUAUUAGCUAGUAGGUGAGGUAACGGCUCACCUAGGCGACGAUACAUAGCCGACCUGAGAGGGUGAUCGGCCACACUGGGACUGAGACACGGCCCAGACUCCUACGGGAGGCAGCAGUAGGGAAUCUUCGGCAAUGGACGAAAGUCUGACCGAGCAACGCCGCGUGAGUGAAGAAGGUUUUCGGAUCGUAAAGCUCUGUUGUAAGAGAAGAACGGGUGUGAGAGUGGAAAGUUCACACUGUGACGGUAUCUUACCAGAAAGGGACGGCUAACUACGUG